rnacentral:rRNA from 1 species
UACAGAGGGUGCGAGCGUUAAUCGGAAUUACUGGGCGUAAAGCGUGCGUAGACGGCUAUCUAAGUCGGGUGUGAAAGCCCCGGGCUCAACCUGGGAAUGGCCGUUGAAACUGGCGAACUGGAGUGUGGCAGAGGGGGGUGGAAUUCCGCGUGUAGCAGUGAAAUGCGUAGAGAUGCGGAGGAACACCGAUGGCGAAGGCAGCCCCCUGGGCUGACACUGACGCUCAGGCACGAAAGCGUGGGGAGCAAACAGG